AGCAGGGUGGGGCAGUGGGCAGCACUGCUGCCUUACAGACAGAAAGUCCCGGGUUUGAGCCCCGACUGUGGAU
rnacentral:tRNA from 1 species